UUACUACUCCCUCCGUCGGGAAAUACUUGUCGAAGAAAUGCAUAAAAAUGAAUGUAUUUAGAACUAAAAUACAUUUAGAUACAUCCAUUCCUCCGACAAGUAUUUCUAAACGAAGGGAGUACUAU
rfam:Triticum aestivum genome assembly, contig: Triticum_aestivum_CS42_TGACv1_scaffold_031328_1BL